GCCCGAGUGGCUCAGUUGGUUGAGUGUCCGACUUAGGCUCAGCACAUGAUCUCGUGGCUCGUGGGUUCGAGCCCCACAUCAGGCU
rnacentral:tRNA from 1 species